rnacentral:rRNA from 1 species
GACGAACGCUGGCGGCGUGCCUAAUACAUGCAAGUCGAGCGGACGGAUGGGAGCUUGCUCCCAUGCCGUCAGCGGCGGACGGUUGAUUAACACGUGGGCAACCUGCCUUUAAGACUGGGAUAACUCCGGGAAACCGGGGCUAAUACCGGAUAACUCUUUCCCUCACAUGAGGGAAAGCUGAAAGAUGGCAUCUCGCUAUCACUUACAGAUGUGCCCGCGGCGCAUUAGCUAGUUGGGGGGGUAACGGCUCACCAAGGCGACGAUGCGUAGCCGACCUGAGAGGGUGAUCGGCCACACUGGGACUGAGACACGGCCCAGACUCCUACGGGAGGCAGCAGUAGGGAAUCUUCCGCAAUGGACGAAAGUCUGACGGAGCAACGCCGCGUGAGUGAUGAAGGUGUUCGGAUCGUAAAACUCUGUUGUCAGGGAAGAACAAGUACCGGCGUAACUGCCGGUACCUUGACGGUACCUGACAAGAAAGCCACGGCUAACUACGUG